rnacentral:rRNA from 1 species
GAUGAACGCUGGCGGCGUGCCUAAUACAUGCAAGUCGAACGAGGAGCCCAUGAAUUUAUUCACGGGUUUCCUAGUGGCGAACGGGUGAGUAACGCGUUGGUGACCUGCCCCGAAGCGGGGGAUAACAGCCCGAAAGGGUUGCUAAUACCCCAUGUGAUCUACCCAAUUAGAAAAGGUAGAUUAAAGACCUCGGUCACUUUGGGAGGGGCCUGCGUCCCAUCAGCUAGUUGGUAGGGUAAUGGCUUACCAAGGCAAUGACGGGUAGGGGGCCUGAGAGGGUGAUCCCCCACAAUGGAACUGAAACACGGUCCAUACAUCUACGGAUGGCAGCAGUAGGGAAUAUUGCUUAAUGGGCGAAAGCCUGAAGCAGCAACGCCGCGUGUGCGAUGAAGGCCCUCGGGUCGUAAAGCACUUUUUGGGGGGAUGAGGAAGGACAGUACCCCCAGAAUAAGCCUCGGCUAACUACGU